ensembl:lncRNA
AUGCAUGUAUGCAUAUGGCCUUCACAAAAAGCAGCCCACAGCCCCAGACAUCCAUGGCAGUUCUUCAGCAGAUUCCCACAGGGAGUGUUCUUAAUCCACAUACUAUUAGAGAAUCAAAGCGGGUGUAAUGAAAAAUUGAAGGAUUUCUUUAACCAGCAGAUAACCAGCCUGCACCAUUCUCUCAGAGCAUCUCUGCAUCGUCUUAUGGAAAUCAACAGAAAGCACUAAGUGGAGCUAAAGACAAGGAACUGUGUGCUUUAGCAUUAGUGUUCUGCAGUUUUGUUGAUUAUGCAGUAUAUAAAUGAAAAUGGAACGUGCACAUUUUUUGUUCUUCUGUAAUCAAAAUUCUGUGUUGUGUAUUUCUGAUUACUGGGUUCAUAAAGAAACCUGAAAGGUCCACAUAUAGACGCAUAUGUGCUUGUCCAAAAAUUGCAAGAACUGACCAUCUUAAUGUCCUCUCCCUCCGUAGAAGCAACUAGGCAAGUAAACACAUACAAAGGAGCUUCUCCUUGUUGUAUUUAUUUAUAUUUGAAACUAACUGUACCCGGCCAUGUGUUGCUGUGGCUCAGUCUGGUUAAAUGGAAAAGAAAGAAAUUAGAAAGAGCACGUUUGUAAUAUAUUUUCUAAUAUAUUUAAUUUCACUAUGCUUGUUGGUAUACAAUAUUUUUUGUUGUUCUAUUGUCCGUGCAAAGUGUAGAGAUUGUCUGGUUUGCCGACUCUAGAACACACAGCAUAUACCGUAAUUGUCCAUAUGAGCAGCAAUCCGUGUCUAGAUCUAAACCGCACAUUUCUAAAGAUUGGCCUUGUGCUUCGUUGAUGGUGAUUGCAAACGCUAAUCAAAUAAGGAAUUGCAGUCGCUUAAAUUGAAUUGACAUAUCCUUUGGAAUCAGGAAUGCAAGGAAUGAGGACAUCUUCACCUUUGAAAGGUCCUGCCAAGAUGGUUGUUUCUAUGACAUUGCUCAUUAUUAUAAUUUUACUGCAAGCCGCAUGCCGUUGCAAAGCUCUGGCUGGUUGAUAUUUCACAACAUGAUAAUUGGCACACUGAUUUUCAAAUGCAGUAUGUGCAGUGGCAUCCCUGACAGAUCGUGUGAAUUCCAAAAUUCUUUUGGAUAAAUAACUGCUUCAUCUGCUUCUGCAACAGUGUCAAUGGACUUGUAUGUGACUGCCUUGCUUUGAAUUGUAGAUUGAAUAAUAUUGUUAAGUUCGUAGACAUCUUUGCUCUUGGCUGCAAGAAUAGCUCAUUCAUUCAGCCAAUCAUGUUUCUUAGAAUUGGUUUGAAUAUUGGGAAAUACUUAUUCAGCCACUAUUUCAUUUGACAUCACUAAAUUGCAGAAUUUAUGAGGCAAUGAAUUUCGUCUUGAGGUCAGAUCAACCGCCACCUAACUGUUCCCAAUUUCCAGCAAUUGAUGUGAGAAUAUCUCAGCUGAUCAAUCGUUUUGCAGCUGGAUACACAUAUUUGUAGUUAAUUUUAAUGUCUUUACAUGUUGCCACAAAGUAGAGUAUUUCAGGCAAGCAUUUAUUUUGUCUGCUGAUGUCGAUCCAGGAAUUACAGGUAAUGUUUGCCUGAAAUCUCCUGCAAGCAUUAUUAAUGUGUUCCCAAAUGGUCAACAGAUGGCACUGUUUUUCAGGAAAAGCGCAUUUUUAACUGUCCCAGGUGUGACAUCUAUAUAAUAGGUAUAUAAAAACAUCAAUGUAUUCGAAUGUAAUGUUGUGUCCAAAUUUCAAAGUAAUCAGUGAAGUAUUUUCAGAGAUUUUAGAUUUUGAACAAACAUUUAAAUUUUUAUUUAUAUGGAUGUUGACAUCUAGUAUGCCUAAAAUAGGAGUCAACAUGAAGUAGUGGUUUGAACCUAUUUGCUAAGAUGCACAGAUAAUAUUUUUUGUGUUGUUGAAUUCUCCAAUACAAUUUUGUGUGCUUCUAAAAUGGCAGCGCAGUGUGAAUAUGUGUCAAGGUAGGUAGAGCAGGUGGUUUGCAACAAGGCAGUCCCAAUUACUUGCAGCAGGCUUAGAAUUAGGAAAAAGGAAUGAGCACAGAGAAAAGAUUGCCCUUUCAGUAGAAAUGUGUGCACCAGUAGUUGAAGGCAGAUUAGCUCAGUACUUGAAUAUACAUCCAGAAACUAUAAAAUGGGACUGCCUUGAAAUUUCUUUGCAAACACAGUUUCAACUAUCUCUGGUGUUUGCUGUUGUUAUUAUAAUACACAACAUUGUAGAAUACGUACCUGUUCCAAUUUUAGCACAUGCACAAGUUUAAU